rnacentral:tRNA from 1 species
GACUUAAGUGGUGCAAUGCAAGCACGCAUGACUCAUAAUCAUGAAGUGCAGGUUGGAAUCCUGCCUAUGAUGUCA